rnacentral:lncRNA from 1 species
AGCAAAGACCUGAGGACCUUCAAGAGUGUGGCCCCAGCGGGCUCCAGCCUCCGAGCCUAGCUCGGGAGGCGUGGUGUAGAAAAUGGCAGACUAGGGCAUCCAUGAAGACCGGGCGGCCCCAAGCCGAGAGGCAUGGCAAAACAGGGGUUGCAGGUGGCUGUUCUGGCAGAGCGAGGAGGAUGGAUUUGAAGAAGACAGGCAUGCAGGGGAGACCUUUGAGGGGAAUGUGUCAACAGCCAAGGGGGGCGGGGCGCCGGGGAGGUCUGGAUGAAGUGGGAAUGAGGAUGGAGUGCAGAGUGCCUGGAGAAGUGUUCAGGAGGGAAGGCGAGGCAUCGGGACGAGGGGCUGGGCGGUCGCGCCAUCUCUGCGAUAGACAAUAAUCGGGUCAACACGCGGCGAGUGGCGGUGCGCGCGGGGCCAACCGCGUGGAGCUGUCGGGAGGGCGAUAGGAUGGGCGCGCCCGGGCUGCAGGCGGGGAGCCGGAGGUGGGAGGUGCCUCUUGAGAGUGGCUCUCCACCGCUGACAGCAAACGAGCUGGUCCGGACGGAGGACAGAGGGGGAAGAAACGGAGGGAGUCGCUGGGGGACGGCGACGAGUGGGAUCCGGGCGGGUGGGACUGGGCGCAAAGGACCGCGCCGACGCCGCAUGGCUGCCGGGAAUUCAGCUCCCCCGGCCAGGUUGAGCGGGCCCCGGGGCCCGGAGCGGGCGUCGGCAUCUCCGGCCUCCCCGCGGGGCUGCAGGCAGGCGGCGCCCCGAGCGCACCCCGCGCGAGCAGGCGCGGAACAGCGGACCCAGGCCGGGCCUUCCCGCAGCUUUUCUGGCCGCCUCGGAGGGCAGGGUCCCAGCGCGGCCCGAGGCGCCUCUUGCCAGCGGCCCGACCUCCUGCCCUCCCGGCCCCCUCCAGGCUCCCCGCACGUGCAGGCCCGGCGACGUCACUGCGGCUCUGACGCGCUCUUGGAGGCCCGGGCGGAGGCGGCGCGGCGCGGGCUUCCUCCGGGAGGUCCCGGUCCCGGCAGCCCGCGGCCGCGUCCUUGGCCCUCCUCCGGGGGAACCUCGUUCAUUCCAAACUCUGGAAGGCCGGCUGUCCUUCGGUUACUGAUAAGGACGCGAGCUCUUGGUAAAAGAUUUGAACAAUGCCCGGAAAGAAAUAGCUGGACCUAAGAAACAGACUAAUAAUAGCUGCCAGCUAGAGCUCCACUCGUGUGCUCAGCGCCUUUAGGAACAAUAAUAACGACCACAGCCAUAGUAGCCACCAUUUAUUGAGCGCUUACUCUGUGCCAGGUGCUGUGUUAAGCGCUUUGCAGGCAACAACCCUCGGAGGUAAGUACCAUUAUCAUCCCUAUUUUGCAGGAAACCCGGGCACAGAGAGGUUAAGUAACUUGCCCCAGGGCACACAGCUAGCUGAUGUCAGUGCCAGAAUUCCAACCGCGGCUGUCGGACCCCAUGCCAUCCUCAUGUCAACCCACUAAGGACGGGAUCCUUCUGUCCAUCUUAAAGAUGAGGCAACUAAGGCACAUGGAAAUUUAAGUAUAAUACCUUGCCCAAGGUCACCUAGCUGGAAAAUGGACGAGACAGAAAGCGAACCCAGGGCUCCUUUCUGUACGCAGAACCCGCGGUCUUGGCCAUAGGCGAUGCCACUUCCGACAGCCCAGCAGGGUCUGGCCCUGGGUCCCAGAGGCGCAGCCCCUGCGGGGUUUGGAUGGGUUCCUGCGGCCUCCGAUCCGCUGGUGAAUUGGGUGUGUCUGAGCAUCGUCCCCGCUCAGCCCGCAGGCGUAGGAUAGGGAGGCGUCUCCGGGAAUCUACUCCGGGACGGGUCCGCGGUCCUCAGUCGGGAUGGAGCGGGGGCGGAGGCAGCCGGAGGGAACUGGAGUCCCCAUUGCAGAACUGCGGGGCCGGGCUCUGGGCUGGGCGCCUGCCCCGCGCGGCCGGCAGAGGGCGCUGCCGCACACGCCUUGGAUCUCACUGUCACUGGGACCUCGGGGCAGGCUGACGUCGGCCUGCAGACGCCUGGACUCAGAACCCCGAAGCAAGAAGCUUCCCUUCCUGGUGGCUGCCAUCCCUCAGGCCCACCAUUUCAGCCCUGGACCUGCUUUCCCUGACCACUUUUCCCCAUCUUCUGUGCUCCUGCCAUCCCACCACUGGCCUUCAAGACUUCCCCAGUCCCUGCACAGCGGGUUUUGUCAUCUGCUGAGAGGCGCGGACACUGAUUCCCAUCCCAUUAAAAGGCCUAGAUGUCUGCAAGUCAAAUUCAGCCUUGCUUCCCCUUCUCGCCCUCUGGUGAUUUAAAAUAGGGAUACAUCAUCUACUUGGAAUAAAUGACUAAUUUUUCUCUUCUCCAAAAUACGGUGGGUAUGGGGAGGGUUGGUUAAGUAGGCGCACACAGAUGAAAGGAUCUAUUUUCAUAAUAGCUACCGAGUACAGAGUGCUUCUUUUGCGCUGAGCCCUUUAUGUGCUUUGACUCAUUAAUCCUCACUACAGCCCUAAGAGGUGUGGAUGAUGAUUGCUGUUUGAUGGAUGAGGUCACAAGGCUGGUAAGUGGCAAAGCUGGGAUUCUUCCCAGGAGUGUCUGACUUUAAAGCUAUGUUCUCAUCACCCAGAAUGUACACGCUGAAACAACUGAACAGAAGAGGUAAGAUGCAAAUCAUGAAAAACAAAUCAAAAUCUACGCUGAGAGUGCAUAGAAAUACCACAUGUCAUGGGAGGCUUGACCAGCUUGAGUCCCCAAUGUGGGACUCAGAUGUUGAACAGAAAAACAAAACCUAAAGGUGCAAGGAGAGAAUAAGAAUGAGGCUUUUGGCUUUAGCUUGGAAGAGCAUCCGGAGAGGCCCACUCACUUUCUAUGUCUGGGCUCUGAGAAAAUAAAGGUGGUUCUAGGAAAAUCUGAAAAGUAUGGGAGAAAGAAAAAAAAAAUCCCUUUUGUGGUUUUUCCUUUAACCAAGCCUCAUUUUGCUAUUUGUGUUUUAUUUUAAAAUUAAUGUGGCUCUCCCCACCCUUUAAAUUGGCACAUAAAUAGCAAAAACAGAAGGAAAGCCAGCUACAAACUUAAAAUGUGGUGGGUUUCUCAGGAAGGAGGUACAUGACUUGAAAUGGAAAUGAGGAUUAAAUGAGAUGCCUUAAACAUUUCAAAAACAGACUUUCCACAAGGAAUUUAGAUCAUAAGCCCUUAGGGCAGAAGCUUUGUCUGGGUCUGGGCUUGGUAUAGUGUCUAGAAUCUGUGAGUGCCCAAUGAAUGUGUAAAACAAAUCACCCUUUUAGUACAUGCUUGCAUCAUCUGACCAUCUGGGCUACCACGUUGCUUAUGGUUUUAUUUAUUAUUAUUAUUAUUAUUUAUUUUUUGAGACGGAGUCUCACUCUUGUAGCCCAGGCUGGAGUGUAAUGGCACAAUCUUAACUCACUGCAACCUCUGCCUCCUGGGUUCAAGUGAUUCUCCUGCCUCAGCCUCUCGAAUAGGUGGGAUUACAGGCACCUGCCACCACACCCGGCUAAUUUUUGUAUUUCUAGAAAAGAUGGGGUUUCACCAUGUUGGCCAGUCUGGUCUCGAACUCCUGACCUCAGGUGAUCCGCCCACGUCAGCUUCCCAAAGUGCUGGGAUUACAGGCAUCAGCCACCACGCCCGGCCUGCUUAUGGUUUUGAAGUGUUGCUUCUGGGGUGAUAUUCCUGUCCUCUAGAUCUCAGUCACUCCUCAGACCCCUCCCUUUUCCAGAAAUUUGCUCUGGAAAUUCAAUCAAGGUGAGGCAAUAGGUGAUGAUGUCACUAGGCUUGGUGAAGUAGAAUGACUGCUCAGCUCUGGAACCACCAACUGGAGGUUUUUCCAAACGAGGAAAACAAAGUCAUGGGACUUGUCACUUAAUAGUUCUGACUGUAUUGCCCUGUGCCUUUAAACUGGAAGAAUUCCCCCUCUUCACCCAAUACCCUGGCCAUCCCAGGUGGCCUCCUGCAAAAUUAUUGGACUUCUUUGCCCUUUCCUCAGUCUGCUUCUUCUUCCCUCCUUCUUUCAGUACCUUCACUCCACAGACAUGUAUUGAGAGCCCAUUAUAUGUAGGUGCUGGGAGGACAGCAGAGAACCUAGCAUGAGCUCAUGGGCUCACCUUCUCCUGUUCCCACCUCCACCUGGCUCCUUUCUUCAUGGCUCCAACUUUCAGGUUUGGCUCCACCAUAGUAACUGACUUGCUUCUCCAUGUGGGAACAACUACUCAGACACUUUUUUUUUUUUUUUUUUUUGAAACGGAAUUUCACUCUUGUUGCCCAGGCUGGAGUGCAGUGGCACCAUCUCAGCUCACCGCAACCUCAGCCUCCUGGGUUCAAGGGAUUCUCCUGCCUCAGCCUCCCGAGUAGCUGGGAUUACAGGCAUGCACCACCACACCCGGCUAAUUUUGCAUUUUUAGUAGAGACAGGGUUUCUUCAUUUUGGUCAGGCUGGUCUCGAACUCCCGACCUUAGAUGAUCCGCCCACCUCCCAAGUGCUGGGAUUACAGGCAUGAGCCACCAUGCCUGACCAGACACAUCUGACAUUCUAUCAGCUCCGGGCAGCUUCCUGAGACCAUACCUGCUGACUUUAGAACCCCACCUUGGGGGUACCCAUUUGGCAGGUUUGGAUCCUGAUGGACCUUCAGGAGCAGAACUUGGGAAUGUUCUAGCUCCAGGACCUGCCAAUGCCGUCCCAUCCUUUCCUAGUUGGCUUUCCUUCCAUUCAUAAGAACACUGUGACAACUGAAAUAAUUCAGGUCAUAUUUAUGAAACAUCUAUUACAAUGAGAAUCCCAUAGUGACAUAAUACUCCACUGUUCACAGGAAAAUGCUAGCUAAAACAAACAACAGUGACUGUCUGGCAAGGGACGCAUCGAAUAAUGCUUAUGAGUCUUUUGGGUCUUUUUUUUUUUAAUCUUGGGAUCGAGUGAUUGAUAAUAAUGAAGGGGAAGGAAGACAUUAGGCCUGUUUUAGUUCUCAGAAUUAUUCACAGGGAAUAGACUUUCACCAUCAACACCCUAAAGAUGCAGAAUGCUCAAGGUAAAUUGCCAGUUUUUGUCUUUCUGGAAAAUCCAUUAAUACUGAAUGAUCUUGGUCUUGACCCAUUCCAAAAAAAAAAAAAAAAAAGAGGAUUGAGCCAUGGGAUUCAGAUUAUGUCCUUGAAAAUCCCUUUAAAAACUAGAUUCCAAAUCAGUGCUCUCAUUCUUCUUGAAUAUCCCACCCACCAGCUUAGCUUGUCCUAUCCCUUCUAGAUACAGCAUUAUUUUCUCUCUUUGAGGAAGAAUGGCCCAGAGGCCGGAAGAGUGAGGGAACGUAAGAACGACUUUUCCACUGACCUGAGUUGCUAAAGCCAUUUGGACCCAGAGAACUCAUUGUAUAUGUGUGCUGCUCAAUAUAUAUGUGUGCAUGAAUUUGUGGUUGUGCAUUUUCUGGCUAAUAUCCAAAGUCUUCAUAACAAGGGGCCUGAGAUACGACAAAAGGAAGACCUAUGUGUCAAGGACGUGUGUCCACCCACCAAGAAGUUC